ACGAACGCUGGCGGCGUGCCUAAUACAUGCAAGUAGAACGCUGAAGGAGGAGCUUGCUCUUCUGGAUGAGUUGCGAACGGGUGAGUAACGCGUAGGUAACCUGCCUGGUAGCGGGGGAUAACUAUUGGAAACGAUAGCUAAUACCGCAUAACAGUAGAUGUUGCAUGACAUUUACUUAAAAGGUGCAAUUGCAUCACUACCAGAUGGACCUGCGUUGUAUUAGCUAGUUGGUGGGGUAACGGCUCACCAAGGCGACGAUACAUAGCCGACCUGAGAGGGUGAUCGGCCACACUGGGACUGAGACACGGCCCAGACUCCUACGGGAGGCAGCAGUAGGGAAUCUUCGGCAAUGGACGGAAGUCUGACCGAGCAACGCCGCGUGAGUGAAGAAGGUUUUCGGAUCGUAAAGCUUUGUUGUAAGAGAAGAACGAGUGUGAGAGUGGAAAGUUCACACUGUGACGGUAUCUUACCAGAAAGGGACGGCUAACUACGUG
rnacentral:rRNA from 1 species